UAUCUAGGCCACAACUGGCCAACUUGCACAUAGAGCCCCAAUCAGUUGGUAGAGGAAACCAUGUGGCUUCCUGGUUCUUAUUUGCUAGGGACCAUUCUGUAGAUGGCUAUAUUUUAGCAGAUUUGGUUACAGUUAGAGAUCUUCAACUUAAUUUUUACUCUGCUUUCAGAUUGCUGUGUGUUGUGAGGUGGAUACUGAGAAUUGAACCCAAGGCUUCCUGCUCUAUCACAGAGUGAUUACAUCCCCAGCCCUUUAAAACUUUUUUUUCAAAUUUUUAUUUUGAGGUAGGAUUCCACUAAAGUUGCUGAGGUUGGUCUUGAACUUGCAAUCCCUCUUACGUCAGGUUCCUGGGUAGCUGGAAUUAUAGGUGUGUGCCACCAUGUGGCUCUAGACUGAUUUUUCUAAUAGUAGCUUUAAUGUUGUAGCUUUAAUUCUAGUUUAUGAGUUGGCUUUGUGUUUCUGGCCCUCUGGCCAAGUCCAGACCACAGCUUGUUUUUGUAAACGAAGAAGUUUUAUUAGAACACAAACACUUCUGUUCAUUUACAUAUGAUCUAUGGCUGCUUUUGUACUGCAAAGACAGAGUCCAAUAGUUUCAACAAAGACCAAUACAAAUCCUUAAACAGCUGGGCAUGGUGACACAUGCCUGUAAUCCCAGCAGCUGGGGAGGCUGAGGAAGGAGGAUCAAAGUUUGAGGCCAGAUUUGCAGGUAAAUGGAUGGAGUUGGAGAAUAUAAUGCUAAGUGAGGUUAGCCAAUCCCAUAAAACCAAAUGCUGAAUGUUUUCUCCUGAUAUAAGGAAGCUGAUUUAUAAUACGGUUGGGAGCGGGAGCAUAGGAGGAUUAGAUGAACUCUAGAUAGGGGAGAGGGGUGGGAAGGAAGGAGCGGGCAUGGGGGUAAAAAGGAGGGUGGAACGAGAUGGAUAUCAUUACCCUAAGCACCCCUGGGUUCAAUCUUCAGUACCAAAAAAAAGGGCUGGGGAUCAGUGAUAGAGUGGGUGCUUAGCAUUAUGAGGUUCAGGGUUUGAUGCUUGGCACCAAAACAAACAAACAACACCCCCCCCCAAAAAAAAAAACCCACCAAAACCCAAAUAAACAAACAACAACAACAAAAACGCUGAUUUAUUUGACAAAGGGAAGAAGAGAUUUCACCGGGUCAGGUGAAGUAGCCCAUGCCCAUAAUCACAGUAACUGGUGGCUGAGGCAGUAGAAUCUUUUUUUUUUUUUUUUUUUUUUGUAUUGGAGAUUUAACCCAAGGGUGCUUUACCACUGAGUCACAUCCCCAAUCCUUUUUAUGUUUUGUUUUAUUUUGAGACAGGGUCUCACUAAAUUACUUAGAGCCUUGCUGAGUUGCUGAGGCUGAUCUUGAACAUUGCAAUCCUCCUGUCAGCCUCCUAAACUGCUGGGAUUACAGGUAUGCACCACCACAUCUGGCCAGGAGAGUCUUUUGAGCCCAGGAGCUAGAGGUCAGCUUGGGCCAUAUAGAAAAAUCCUGUCUCAAAACCAAAAACAGAACAAAAUAAAACAAAAAUCAAAGAAAACAAAAAUCUAAAACAAAGCCAGGCACUGUGGUACAUAUCUGUAAUCUGAGGCUGAGGCAGGAGGAUCCCAAAUUCAAGGGCAACCUGGGCAAUUUAGAGAGACCCUAUUUCAAAAUAAAAAAUCAAAAGGAUUGAGGAUAUAGCUUUGUGGUACAGCACUCCUGAGUUCAAUCCCCAGUACGGGAAACAAAACAAAAUAAAACAAAACACCUAAGAGACCAUAAAAGUAAAAACUAAGAAGAGACUCACCAAAAAAUUUGCUGAGAAGGAGAAACUGAAACCCUGGGGGGAGAGGCUUUAUUGCUUGUUGUUUUCCAAUAAAACUGGGGAGACAGGUUGGCAAGUAAACAGGUUGACUCAAAGCUGGUUUUGAGAAAGUUAAAGGAGAGCUUUAUUCUUUAUCAAAUUUCCACCUUUGGGGACUCAGCAGCAUGGAAAGCCAUCAUAAGAGGAGAGGAGGCACAGUGGAGGAAGAGGCAGAUUUAGCUAGGGGAAAUAUGUCAGUCUUUAAUUUCCUUGGCAUCUGUUCUCAGCAGGAGGAAGUUUUAAUUCUCAGCAGGAGGAAAUUCAAGAGCUAUUUCAAAAUCAAGGGAGUUUUGAGCAUUAGGAAAGGGUUUUCAUGAUAAUAUGCUAAUUAAGAAUUAAAACUGGGGAUGGGGAUGUGGCUCAAGCAGUAGCGCACUCCCUUGGCAUGGGUGCGGUCCGGGUUCGAUCCUCAGCACCACAUACAAACAAAGAUGUUGUGUCCGCCAAAAACUAAAAUGUAAAUAAAAUAUUAAAAAAAAAAAAAGAAUUAAAACUGAACACUUUAGCUGGGCCCGGUGGCCUAUGCCUAUAAUCCCAGUGGCUCAGAGGCCAAAGCAGGAAGAUCAUGAAUUCAAAGCCAGCCUCAGCAAUUUAGCAAGGCCCUAAGCAACUUAGUGAGACCAUGUCUCUAAACAAAAAAUAUAAAACUGGCUGGGGAUGAAGCUCAGUGGUUAAGCCCCCCUGCAUUUGAUCUUCAGUACAAAAGAAAAAAAAAAUUGAACACUUUGUACAGAAUGAAUUCAGAGAUCUGACUCGAUUGGUUAAAAAAAGUCCCAAAGAUACUGGUUGGGAAGGAGUCUUCAGUUAGGUCUGCUAAGAGUCUGACAUUCAGAGAUCACUUAAAGUCCAUAUUUGUUCACUGGCUUCAGCUGGCUGGCAUCAGUUGUGAUUAAAUAAUUUUUUUUUUUUUUUUGUGUGUGUGUGUGUGUGGUGCUGGGGAUCAAACCCAGGGCCUUGUGUGUGGGCGGCAAGCACUCACUCUACGGACUGAGCUAUAUCCCCAGCCUUUGUUUAUUUUCAAUUUUCUGUUUGACAUCUCCUUGGCAAGUCACAUCAUAAAUGGAAAUCUUUUCCUUACCUAUUAUUUUUAUAUACUAUUUGUGAUUGGUAUUAUGAAAACAGACCAAGGUUAUAACAAACUUGGCUCUCCUUCUUUCUUUUCUUUUUUUUACACUGGAGAUUGAACCCAGGGGCACUUUACCACUAAGAAAAAGCCAGCCUCAGCAACUUAGUGAGGCCCUAAGAAACUCAAUGAGAGCCUGUCUCUAGAUAAAAUAUUUUUACAUCACCCCCCUUUAUUUUUUAAAUUUUGAGACAGAAUUUCGCUAAGUUUCUGAGGGCCCUGCUGAGUUGCUGAGGCUGGCCUUGAACUUGUGAUCCUCCUGCUGGGAUUACAGGUGUGUACUACCAUGUCCAGCUCUCUCUUUUUUGUUAAGCAGACCCCAAUUUUGUUUAGGCAUUGGGUGGGCAGCAAUCUGUUCUAGGAUAUAGGUCCCUUGUCCCCCAUCCCAGGGCUGCUUGAUAAGGUGUUGAUAACACUGCCCCUGUUUGCAAGUAAUUAGUCCAAUUCUGACCCAGGGAAAGUCUGCUGGGGUUUCUAAAACUUUUUUCCCUAUUAAAACCAAAAUCUUGCCAGGUGCUGUGGCACAUACUUGUAAUCCCAGUGGCUCUGGAGGCUGAGGCAAGAGGCUCAUGAGUUCAAAGCCAGCCUCCAGCAAUUUAGUAAGCCCUGUUUCAAAAUAAAAUAUAAAGGGCUGGAGUUGUGUCUCCGUGGUAGAGCGCUCACCUAGCAUGUUUGAGGCCUUAGGUUCGAUCCUCAGCACCACAUAAAAAUAAAUAAAAUAAAGGUAUUGUGUCCAACUACAACUAAAAAGCAAAUAUUAAAAAAUAAAAUAUAAAAAGAGCUGGGGAUGUGGCUUAGUGGUUAAGUGACCCUGGGUUCAAUCCCCUGGUAUAAAUAAAUAAAUAAAUAAAAUCUCUGGGCUGGGGAUGUGGCUCAGUGGUUAAGUGACCCUGGGUUUAAUCCCCUGGUACGAAUAAAUAAAUAAAUAAAUAAAUAAAUAAAUAAAUAAAUAAAAUCUCUGGGCUAGGGAUAUAGCUCAGUGGUUGUGCACAUGCUUAAAACCCUGAGGCCGGAGUUCAAUCCCCAGUACAAAACAAGUAAAUAAACUCUUCCAGGAGAAAGGAUCAUUGUCACCUGCCUGCUUCUUCCUAUCUGGAAUGCAGUUGUGUGACAUGUGAUCUUUGGAGUUACAUCAAAUAUCUAGUUCAGUUAGGUGGCAAGCUCAAGGAUGAACCACACCUCCUUCCUAUUGUUGAGCUCCUGCAUUAUCCAUGGAACCUCCAGAUUUCUAAUUGGAGACAAAUAACUCUUUUUUUUUUUUUAAUUGGAGAUUGAACCCAGGGAUGCUUAACCACUGAGUCACAUCCCCAGCCCCUUUUAAAAAUAUUUAUCUAGAGAAGGGUCUCAUUGAGUUUCUUAAGGCCUCACUAAGUUGCUGAGACUGGCUUUAACUCAAGAUCCUCCUGCCUCAGACUCCUGAGCCACUGGGAUUACAGGAGUGUGCCACCAUGCCUGGCUACAAAUAACUUUUUAUUGUGUAAACCUUAAGCACAUGUUAUAUGUUGUGUGAGAAUUCUGUUGUAUAUAGCUAAAUAUCAUAAUUUACACAAAUAGCUGUAUUGUUUUGGGUCAAUUUGAUAAGAUAUUAGAAUUUAUAUUAUAAACAAAUAGAAUUUAUAUUAUAUCUCACUACAUAUUUAUGUAUAAUUUGUAAAAGCUUCUUUUGGUAGUCUUAUUAUACUUGUAAAAAUAUAUAUAUAAAUUUUUAUAUAUAAAUAUGUGUAUAUAUAUGUAUGUAUUUAUGUAUCUAUUAGGACUCUACACCAAGUAUUUUCCCCCAAGUAUUCUACAUCAAGUUUUCACCCCUUCUGGACUCAUGGCAGGAUGGCACUUCCUGCCCCCUUGUGGUUCUGGCCAUAGAGCUAUGACUGGGAAUGACAUUUCCCCCAUAGAUUUGGUUUAUAACACAUAUUAUCACACAAAAGUUCAUGUAUAAAUUAAAGUGCUAUCUUGAGAUUUGUAUCUCGUCCAUAGGGGAGCAUCCCUGCUCAUCCCAUUUUGAGCUUAGAUAUUCUCAUAUAAUUCAUAGAGCAGAUGGCAGGUGCAUUUCCUGAAGUAGGGUAGUAGUUCUGCUUUGCCAUUCUGUUCUUGUUCCUUUUCCCCCUCUCUGAUUUUCACAGGUCAAGCAAUCAGAAAAAAAGAUUCUGCAGCAUUCGCGUCCCAGUAGGAUUCCAGCCAGUAUAUCAGUCAUUUAUGGACAUAGGUCUUCAGCAUCAACUGGAACCCCUGCUGUAGAAGCCUAUUUUUCCCAUCAUCCCACUUAUGAAAUCAUAGAAUCUCUCUGUUACAGGAAACUUCUUUCUCUACAUUGAGGGGGAACAAUUUAUAUCAUUGUAUUUUUUUAUAAGAGAGAGAGAGAGGAGAGAGAAUUUUAAUAUUUAUUUUUUAGUUCUCCGCGGACACAACAUCUUUGUUGGUAUGUGGUGCUGAGGAU
rnacentral:lncRNA from 1 species